GACGUAGGGCGCGAGCGUUGUCCGGAUUUAUUGGGCGUAAAGAGCUCGUAGGCGGCUUGUUACGUCGACUGUGAAAACCCGCGGCUCAACCGUGUGGUCUGCAGUCGAUACGGGCAGGCUAGAGUUCGGUAGGGGAGACUGGAAUUCCUGGUGUAGUGGUGAAAUGCGUAGAGAUCCGGAGGAACACCAGUGGCGCAGGCGGUGUCCUGGGACGUACCUGACGCUGAGACGCGAAAGCAUGGGGAGCGAGCGGG
rnacentral:rRNA from 1 species